UUUAAUUGAAGAGUUUGAUCAUGGCUCAGAUUGAACGCUGGCGGCAGGCCUAACACAUGCAAGUCGAACGGUAACAGGGAGCAGCUUGCUGCUCUGCUGACGAGUGG
rnacentral:rRNA from 1 species